UUAGAUUCUCUCAGACUCACAGCUGUGAUGAAGAGCUCCAGAAACUCAUUGGACAUCUGAGUCUCCUCCUGCUGACUGCAGAGCUUCAUGACUGACACCUCUCUGAUUCCAGCUGUGAACAUCAGACCAAACACAACUCACUAAACGUUUCCAUACUGAACAACCACAGCUUUCCCCUCUGUGAACAUGGAGAAACUGGCUGCAAUUCUGCUCUGUUCAGCUCUCAUAGGUAACAGCUUGGAAGAUGAUAUUACUGCCAUCAGUGCUGAAGUGUGUUCCUCAGAGGGCCGUAGUGUUACUCUGUCCUGUACAUAUUCAGUUAAAGCUGAAAAUCUCCAGUGGUACAGACAGGAUCCUGGAUCAGCUCCUCAGUUCCUCCUCCUGAUCACUGACACAACACAGCCUUACGUGGUGGAAGCAAAACCUCCAAUCCCUCGACUGAAUGCCACACUGAACUUGGAGAGAAAUCAAGUGGAUCUGCAGAUCUCCUCUGCUGCAGUGACAGACUCUGCUGUGUACUACUGUGCUCUGAGGCCCACAGUGACAGGAAACACCAACACUCUGUACAAAAACCUUUGGAGCAAAGACAACACAAUCCUGCACAGCAUCCACCAGAGGGAGUCUCUCUCUGUUAGACUUUAGGGAAACAACACAACUAAUGUUCAAACAACUCAACCC